rnacentral:lncRNA from 1 species
UGGGUAGUGUCUUUAACCCCAACAUUAGUUAUUCUAAAGGAAUGCACAGCCCAGUCCAGGUAAAAAGCUUGUUCAUCCUUCCUUAGAGGCAAACCCUCUCUCAAAGCAGCCUCAUCAAUUUGAAUGAUAUUAAUGCCAGCUUUUUCAAGAUCUUCCACUUCAUCCUUGAUGGCCAGUGCAAUCUGAUAGCAGGUCUCAAACCUAAAAAUAAGCCAAGUACUUUGUAACUUACAAAUGAAACGGGAUAGGCUGAAAUAAAAAUAUUCAAAUACAUGGAUUGGUCANGGUGACAGCUAUUAACCUGGGUAGUGUCUUUAACCCCAACAUUAGUUAUUCUAAAGGAAUGCACAGCCCAGUCCAGGUAAAAAGCUUGUUCAUCCUUCCUUAGAGGCAAACCCUCUCUCAAAGCAGCCUCAUCAAUUUGAAUGAUAUUAAUGCCAGCUUUUUCAAGAUCUUCCACUUCAUCCUUGAUGGCCAGUGCAAUCUGAUAGCAGGUCUCAAACCU